UGCGUAGGCGGGAUUUUAAGUCAGAGGUGAAAGCCUGGAGCUCAACUCCAGAACUGCCUUUGAUACUGGAAUUCUUGAGUUCGGAAGAGGUAGGUGGAACUGCGAGUGUAGAGGUGAAAUUCGUAGAUAUUCGCAAGAACACCAGUGGCGAAGGCGGCCUACUGGUCCGAUACUGACGCUGAGGCACGAAAGCGUGGGAGCAAACA
rnacentral:rRNA from 1 species